rnacentral:misc_RNA from 1 species
GAUGAAGAACGCAGCGAAAUGCGAUAAGUAAUGUGAAUUGCAGAAUUCAGUGAAUCAUCGAGUCUUUGAACGCACAUUGCGCCCCCUGGUAUUCCGGGGGGCAUGCCUGUCCGAGCGUCAUUGCUGCCCUCAAGCACGGCUUGUGUGUUGGGCUCCGCCCCCCUCCCGGGGGGCGGGCCCGAAAGGCAGCGGCGGCACCGCGUCCGGUCCUCGAGCGUAUGGGGCUUUGUCACCCGCUCUGUAGGCCCGGCCGGCGCCCGCCGGCGACCCCAAUCAAUCUUUCCAGGUUGACCUCGGAUCAGGUAGGGAUACCCGCUGAACUUAAGCAUAUCAAUAACGGAGGA